rnacentral:rRNA from 1 species
CCCUUAGACGUUCUGGGCCGCACGCGCGCUACACUGACGAAGGCAACGAGCUACUCUUCCCCGAAAGGUGUGGGUAAUCUUUUGAAACUUCGUCGUGCUGGGGAUAGAUCCUUGCAAUUUUUGAUCUUAAACGAGGAAUUCCUAGUAAGCGCAAGUCAUCAACUUGCGUUGAUUACGUCCCUGCCCUUUGUACACACCGCCCGUCGCUACUACCGAUUGAAUGGUUUAGUGAGGCCUUCGGAUCCGCGAUUUUAUUGUGGAGAAGUUGGACAAACUCAGUCAUUUAGAGGAAGUAAAAGUCGUAACA